AGAGUUUGAUCCUGGCUCAGGAUGAACGCUAGCGGCGGGCUUAAUACAUGCAAGUCGAGGGGCAGCACAGGUAGCAAUACUGGGUGGCGACCGGCGGACGGGUGCGUAACACGUAUGCAACUUACCCUAUACUGGGAAAUAGCCCGGAGAAAUCCGGAUUAAUGUCCCAUAACAUCAGAGAAGGCAUCUUUUUUGGUUAAAAGCUCCGGCGGUAUAGGAUGGGCAUGCGCCCCAUUAGCUAGUUGGUGAGGUAAUGGCUCACCAAGGCGACGAUGGGUAGGGGGCCUGAGAGGGUGAUCCCCCACACUGGUACUGAGACACGGACCAGACUCCUACGGGAGGCAGCAGUAAGGAAUAUUGGUCAAUGGGCGCAAGCCUGAACCAGCCACGCCGCGUGCAGGAAGACGGCCCUCUGGGUUGUAAACUGCUUUUAUACGGGAAGAAAAACUCCCUCGUGAGGGAGCUUGACGGUACUGUACGAAUAAGGAUCGGCUAACUCCGUGCCAGCAGCCGCGGUAAUUC
rnacentral:rRNA from 1 species